rnacentral:rRNA from 1 species
GAUGAACGCUGGCGGCGUGCCUAAUACAUGCAAGUCGAGCGAACGGACGAGAAGCUUGCUUCUCUGAUGUUAGCGGCGGACGGGUGAGUAACACGUGUAUAACCUACCUAUAAGACUGGGAUAACUUCGGGAAACCGUAGCUAAUACCGUAUAAUAUUUUGAACCGCAUGGUUCAAAAGUGAAAGACGGUCUUGCGGUCACUAAUAGAUGGAUCCGCGCUGCAUUAGCUAGUUGGUAAGGUAACGGCUUACCAAGGCAACGAUGCAUAGCCGACCUGAGAGAGUGAUCGGCCACACUGGAACUGAGACAGGGUCCAGACUCCUACGGGAGGCAGCAGUAGGCAAUCUUCCGCAAUGGGCGAAAGCAUGACGGAGCAACGCCGCGUGAGAGAUGAAGGUCUUCGGUUCGUAAAACUCUGUUAUUAGGGGAGAACAUCUGUCUAAGUAAAUGUGCACAUCUUGACGGUAACUAAUCAGAAAGCCACGGCUAACUACGUG